rnacentral:autocatalytically_spliced_intron from 1 species
ACAACAUCCGCCCGGAUAAGGCUGGUCACCAGCCGGAAGCGAGUCUUGCGUGGUAGUAGGGGCGACCCGUGCUGCGAAGCGUAGACAGCGAGUGUGUAGGCCGAGCU